GGCCUUGUAGCUCAGUUGGCUAGAGCGUUGGCUGUACUAAAGCCUUCCCCUUGCUGGUGUCGGUUCGUAUCCCACCGAGGCUG
rnacentral:tRNA from 1 species